rnacentral:rRNA from 1 species
GACGAACGCUGGCGGCGUGCUUAACACAUGCAAGUCGAACGGUAACGCGCCUUCCUUUUUGUUGGGUGUGGGUGAGUUGCGAACGGGUGAGUAACACGUGCGUAACCUGCCCCCUUCUUCUGGAUAACCUCAUGAAAGUGUGGCUAAUACGGGAUAUUCUGUGUCUGUCGCAUGAUGGGUCUUGGAAAGCUAUUGUUUCGGUGUGGGCUGGGAUCGCGGCCUAUCAUCUUGUUGGUGGGGUGAUGGCCUACCAAGGCGGUGACGAGUAGCCGGCCUGAGAGGGUGGACGGCAACAGUGGGACGGAGAGACGGAGAAGACUACUACGGGAGGCAGCAGGGGAGAAUAGAGAACAAUGGGAGGAAGCAUGAUGCAGCGACGCGGCGGGAGGGAAGGAGGCCGUGGGGUUGUGAACCUCUGUCGGGAGUGAAGAGGGGCUGCCUCGUUUGUGGGUGGGUUGACGGUAGCUGGAGAAGAAGCGCCGGCUAACUACGUG